rnacentral:rRNA from 1 species
UACGGAGGGUGCGAGCGUUAAUCGGAAUAACUGGGCGUAAAGGGCACGCAGGCGGUUAAAUAAGUCAGAUGUGAAAUCCCCGGGCUUAACCUGGGAAUGGCAUUUAAAACUGUUUAGCUGGAGUUUCAUAGAGGGGGGUAGAAUUCCACGUGUAGCGGUGAAAUGCGUAGAGAUGUGGAGGAAUACCGGUGGCGAAGGCGGCCCCCUGGAUGAAGACUGACGCUGAGGUGCGAAAGCGUGGGUAGCAAACAGG